rnacentral:rRNA from 1 species
CCUACGGGAGGCAGCAGUUGGGCGCAAGCCUGAUCCAGCAAUGCCGCGUGUGUGAAGAAGGCCUUCGGGUUGUAAAGCACUUUUAUCGGGAGCGAAAUACCAUUGGCUAAUAACCGGUGGGGCUGACGGUACCCGAGGAAUAAGCACCGGCUAACUUCGUGCCAGCAGCCGCGGUAAUACGAAGGGUGCAAGCGUUAAUCGGAAUUACUGGGCGUAAAGGGUGCGUAGGCGGUUUGUUAAGUCUGUCGUGAAAUCCCCGGGCUCAACCUGGGAAUGGCGAUGGAAACUGGCAGGCUAGAGUGUGUCAGAGGAUGGUGGAAUUCCCGGUGUAGCGGUGAAAUGCGUAGAGAUCGGGAGGAACAUCAGUGGCGAAGGCGGCCAUCUGGGACAACACUGACGCUGAAGCACGAAAGCGUGGGGAGCAAACAGGAUUAGAUACCCUGGUAGUCACGCCCUAAACGAUGCGAACUGGAUGUUGGUCUCAACUCGGAGAUCAGUGUCAAGCUAACGCGUUAAGUUCGCCGCUGGGGAGUACGGUCGCAAGACUGAAACUCAAAGGAAUUGACGG